GGGCGGCCCGCCGGCGGGGACCGGCUAUCCGAGGUAUCCGAGGCCAUCCGAGGCCAACCGAGCCGACCGAGGCCAACCGAGGCCAUCCGAGGCCGACCGAGGCCGACCGAGGCCGACCGAGGCCGACCGAGGCCAUCCGAGGCCGACCGAGGCCAACCGAGGCGCCGCGGGGCUGCCGUAUCGUUCCGCCUGGGCGGGAUUCUGACUUAAGAGGCGUUCAGUCAUAAUCCCACAGAUGGUAGCUUCGCCCCAUUGGCUCCUCAGCCAA
rnacentral:lncRNA from 1 species